CGGCCCAGCCGACACCCUUUCCUGGCCGCCUCCCCCACCUCAACGACUACCCAUCCCAGCGCUGUGCGGCGGCGCUACCGGCGCCCGCGGUGGUGGCGCUGCUCGACUCCGCCGGCGGUGUCCUUCUCCCGCCCUCCCGCGAGCGAGCCGUCGCCGUGCUGGCCCCAAUCGCGUCCUCGGACGCUGCGUUCCGGUUCCUCGAGGAGGAUCCCGGCGCCGUGGUGCCGCGAGCUCGAGUCACCCGCUGACGGCGGCCUCGCGGGACGCGUCAGCCUCCGUGGCGGCGCGCGGCGGGGUGGCGGCGCUCCUCGCGGCGUGCGCAGGCGGGCGGGACGAGCGACGUUGGGGCGACCGGCGGCGGUAGUGCAGCCUGCACGGAGCGGGCCCGUGGAGGGGUUGCCGCGUGGGGGGUCCGUGAGGAGCAGGGGGCAAAGGAGGAUACUACGGCAUGCUGCAGCACGGGGGAGGCGGCCACCCGGCCGGCGGCGGCCUGCCCAACAGCGUCUGUCCGACGGCGAUGGAGCUGCCCAUGGACGACCGAACGGCCUUUGCAUGUCAGUAUAGGAUUCUAUGCUCGGUGGAGCUGCUGACGAUAGUGAGCAGAUGGCGAGGAGGUGCCGGCGCUCAUGAUGGCCAGGGCUGCCAACGGGAGAUGCCACCAUCCUGCAGCGCGCGACGAGCCCCUGCCUGGGAGCGCCGGUGACGGGAGCGCCGCUGGGUGCGGCGGCAGCGAGCCUUUGGCCGGGAAGGAGCUGCUGUUGAUUAGUGCUAUUCGUGCUUCAAAAUUUGAUUCUUUCUUUCUCAUGUAUUUUUUUUCAGAUUUGGAGCUCACCGGUCUGUGUCUCUGUGUUAUGCAUGCGUGUAUAUAUUUCUAUGACAUGCUAGAUUUUUUUUAUAAUUCUAUGACCUUAUAUAGAGUAUAAAAUGUAUCAAAGCUUUUUAUGACCUGCCUUUUUAU